CCUGAGCUGAAGUUGGACACUUAGCCGACUGAGCCAUCCAGAUUGACUGUUUAUUGCCUUUCACAUUUGGAUCCAUAGUUUGGAAGUAAUCAUUCGUGGAAUAAGAAGGGUCAGAGCUUGAAUGUCAGCAGCACAAAAUG